AGGCAGGUUUUAGCACAUUGCUGUUCUGCUGAGGUCUUAAAGUAUUUGAUAAGCUUUAACCGUGUAAAUGUUAGUGGUAUCUACAGUGCUUGUAGUCAUUCUCUGGAAGUCUGCAACGUUUAGUGAUGAAAGCACUGUCCUAGUAUCUAUGUACAAGGUGAUAUCAAAGAGUUUAGGGACUGAGGGUGUGACUGGUGCUAUUCUGACUACGUGCAUUACCAUGUCUGGGAUUUCAUUACAGAAAGUUAGAACAAAGAGCAAACUUGAAAUUCUACGUGAAACGUCACAAAUGUGCACUUCAAGAGAGGAAGAACAUCACCGGAAGAUGAUGAGAAUCAGGAAGUCAUUCAACAAGCUUCAACAAAAUCAACCAUUCAGCAACUCGUGCAUGACGAUCGUCGGAGGACUUGAUCCCACUUCCGCACCUACCCUACCUGACAGAUUUUUUUUCUCAUUAGAACUUUGCCCUCUUCCCGGAAAUCAAGAUCCAGCUCGAAGGCUGCCGUUUUGACAUCCGCAGUGAAUCGCAGCAGGCGCUUCGAAAAGAAGACAUCCAGGACACGUUCCAAAAGAAUGCUGGGAGUGCUGUAAUGUUGUGCAAAGGGACUAUUCUGAAGCGAGACGAGAUUAGCGCUUGAGGACUUUGAGAAUGCAAAUGAUCGUGAUGCUGUUCGUCGCUCAUUGUUGUCUGAUGUUCCUGUUGCUUUUACUUCAUCCUGCAACUGGUUUCAGGUCAUCCGUGAAAGGAAGCUGUUUGUUUUCUUUCUGCUAGAAUCGUCCCUCACCAUACAAGGAUACAAGCACUUUGACGUGGAACGAUGAGGGAACGUAAACAAAGAGCAUUCCAGGGUGAAGGAUGAUGGUAUGGUUUGCUCAGGACUUCUUUGAGUUUGAGGCAUUUCUCCUUAUUUUAGAGGAGUUUUAAUAUCCAAAUUAUUGUGGUAGAAACUUUGAGUUUGAAGAGGUAACGUGUAUCCCUCUCUAACUUCACCCAUCCAGGCCAGAUGAAAAGGUGCCCCCCCAUCCCCCUUGGGUGGACAUGUCUUCAUUGUCGUGGUUAAAGUGCUUGAGUUAGAAGAUAAAAGCGUAGUCAACUGAAGGCUUUAGCGGAUGUCUGAACGAGGUCUGAAUGAAAGCAAUGGAUUUUUAGACAGGAUGCGCUGACAAGGUAGAAAUAAAAGCAAAAAGGCUGAAAGAGGUGUCAGGUUUUGCUCUCACUCUCUGUGUGGACAGGACAAUUUGUUCCUAUUAGUCCUGCUUAACAUUCUGUCUUAAUCUGUGUCACGCUGCUGGAAUUGAAAAAAUAUUUCUUGCUUGUCCACAAAUAUAACCCUGUCCCUUUCAAGGCUUUUACUUCCUUCAUUUUAUCCAAAAAUACAAUAAAUCUGUUUUAAUCUG